rnacentral:misc_RNA from 1 species
CUGAGUUUUUUUAACUCCCAAACCAUUGUGAACUUACCACUGUUGCCUCGGCGGCAGUCCCCUCUGUAACAGGAGGGGCGGCCGCCGGUGGACUACUUAAACUCUUGUUAAUUUUUGUCAAUUCUGAAUUAAAAACUUAAUAAGUUA